GGGGACAAGCAAAUCAAGCUGGUACUAGAGCUGGGGUGUCGCAGGUGUUAAAUAGGCUGACAUUUGCAUCUACUCUCUCUCAUUUGCGGAGGUUAAAUUCUCCCAUAGGACGUGAAGGGAAAUUGGCCAAACCUCGACAGUUACACAAUUCUCAUUGGGGAAUGAUGUGUCCUGCUGAAACGCCUGAAGGGCAGGCUUGUGGACUUGUGAAGAAUCUUGCUUUGAUGGUGUACAUAACAGUAGGAUCGGCUGCACAUCCUAUUUUGGAAUUUUUAGAGGAGUGGAGUACUGAGAAUUUUGAGGAAA
rnacentral:misc_RNA from 1 species